GUCAGUGCGAGGAGUAUAAACUCUGUUUGUAUUCGUGUUUGAUCACCUGAACAUACAAAUCUUCAGAAUGACGCUGCAGAUCCACCUGGACAGGGACACUGUGAGGGUGAGGUUGAUGGAUGAUCCUGAUGACUAAAAACCCUCUGACCUCCACCGGUGAAGAUAUUUACAUGGAUUCAUACAGAGAUAACACACAGCGUCACGAGAUCGGAACAUCGGCUUUCAGUCUGAUCUGAACCCUUCCAGACGGCUGCAGGUUCCCCUUCAGCUCAGCUCACCGUGGAAACACCGACGGGUCAGACGAGACUGUGCACGAGGUCCAAACACAGUACGCUUUAUCAUUGGUUUAAUUAAUCUGUUGAGCCAAAGAAAAUCUGAGCAAG